CUCCCUCGUUGCUGAUCUCAGGUUCGAUAAUGCCAAAUCGCACCACCUCGCCUAAAAUCAACUUCGAUGAAGCGACGGGCGGUGUGUG
rnacentral:rRNA from 1 species